rnacentral:rRNA from 1 species
GAUGAACGCUGGCGGCGUGCCUAAUACAUGCAAGUCGAGCGAACAGACGAGGAGCUUGCUCCUCUGACGUUAGCGGCGGACGGGUGAGUAACACGUGGAUAACCUACCUAUAAGACUGGGAUAACUUCGGGAAACCGGAGCUAAUACCGGAUAAUAUAUUGAACCGCAUGGUUCAAUAGUGAAAGACGGUUUUGCUGUCACUUAUAGAUGGAUCCGCGCCGCAUUAGCUAGUUGGUAAGGUAACGGCUUACCAAGGCAACGAUGCGUAGCCGACCUGAGAGGGUGAUCGGCCACACUGGAACUGAGACACGGUCCAGACUCCUACGGGAGGCAGCAGUAGGGAAUCUUCCGCAAUGGGCGAAAGCUUGACGGAGCAACGCCGCGUGAGUGAUGAAGGUCUUCGGAUCGUAAAACUCUGUUAUUAGGGAAGAACCAAUGUGUAAGUAACUAUGCACGUCCUGACGGUACCUAAUCAGAAAGCCACGGCUAACUACGUG